rnacentral:piRNA from 1 species
UGCUGAUUCUUUGAGGUUUAUCUUAACCAGC